rnacentral:misc_RNA from 1 species
GAAAUGCGAUAAGUAAUGUGAAUUGCAGAAUUCAGUGAAUCAUCGAGUCUUUGAACGCACAUUGCGCCCCCUGGUAUUCCGGGGGGCAUGCCUGUCCGAGCGUCAUUGCUGCCCUCAAGCCCGGCUUGUGUGUUGGGCCCUCGUCCCCCGGCUCCCGGGGGACGGGCCCGAAAGGCAGCGGCGGCACCGCGUCCGGUCCUCGAGCGUAUGGGGCUUCGUCUUCCGCUCCGUAGGCCCGGCCGGCGCCCGCCGACGCAUUUAUUUGCAACUUGUUUUUUUCCAGGUUGACCUCGGAUCAGGUAGGGAUACCCGCUGAACUUAAGC